rnacentral:misc_RNA from 1 species
GAUGAAGAACGUAUCGAAAUGCGAUAAGUAAUGUGAAUUGCAGAAUUCAGUGAAUCAUCGAAUCUUUGAACGCACAUUGCGCCCGCCAGUAUUCUGGCGGGCAUGCCUGUUCGAGCGUCAUUUCAACCAUCAAGCCCCAGGCUUGUGUUGGAGCCCUGCGGCUGCCGCAGCCUCCCAAAACCAGUGGCGGGCUCGCUAUCACACCGAGUGCAGUAGUUUACUCUUCGCUCAGGGCGUGUGGCGGGUGCUAGCCGUAAAACCCCCAACUUCUCAAGGUUGACCUCGGAUCAGGUAGGAAUACCCGCUGAACUUAAGCAUAUCAAUAAGCGGAGGA